rnacentral:rRNA from 1 species
UGGCGAACGGGUGAGUAACACGUGGGUGAUCUGCCUUGCACUCUGGGAUAAGCUUGGGAAACUGGGUCUAAUACCGGAUAGGAACCGUCUUUAGUGUGGUGGUUGGAAAGUUUUUUCGGUGCAAGAUGAGCUCGCGGCCUAUCAGCUUGUUGGUGGGGUAAUGGCCUACCAAGGCGUCGACGGGUAGCCGGCCUGAGAGGGCGACCGGCCACAUUGGGACUGAGAUACGGCCCAG